rnacentral:rRNA from 1 species
UCCUCGCCUGUUUACCAAAAACAUGUCUCUUUGUAAAAUAUAAAUAGAGAGUCGGGCCUGCUCGGUGAAUAAGUUUUUAACAGCUGCGGUAUUUUAACUGUACUAAGGUAGCAUAAUAAUUUGCCUUAUAAUUUGAGGCUAGAAUGAAUGGUUUGACGAAGGUUAAUCUGUCUCCACCUUAUUUUUUAGAAGUUAAUUUUUAAAGUGAAAAAGCUUAAAUCUUUCAAAGGGACGAGAAGACCCUAAUGAGCUUAUAAUUUUAUUAUCAUUAUUUAAAAUAUUUAGGUGGUGGUAUAUAAAUUUUAAUUGGGGUGAUUAAGGAAUAAAUUGUGUAUAGUAACUUCCUUAAAUUAGGUAUUUGUAGAUAAAGUAACCAAUGUAAUAUUGCUUAUAGUAUAGUUACCAUAGGGAUAACAGCGUAAUUUGUUUAGAGAGUUCUUAUUGAAAAACGAGAUUGCGACCUCGAUGUUGGAUUAAAGUAACCCUAGGGUGCAGAAGCUUUAGUAGGUAAAUCUGUUCGAUUUUUAAUACUUUACGUGAUCUGAGUUCAGACCGA